GUGCAUUAAAACUCACUAAUCCAACACACCCCUGCAGCCAGGUAUCUGCACAGCUGCUCCCCGGGCCAGUGAUCUGAAGAAAAAGCUGAUUUUGGUGCGUGCUGGAAAGCAGAUGCAGCUGCUGAUGUAGAAACCCUUGUGGGGUUCGCAGUGUCCUGCCAGGCAUGCAGAUGAUCCACGGCGAGCUACGGGAAGGGUCGGAGGAAGUGCUGCACACACUGAAACUAUCAGUGACCAGUCCUGCAAAUGGACCAAAGCACGCGGAUCCCCAGGAACGCUUCCCCACCCCAGGGCUUCAUCCCCCCUUCCCAGCCCGGCAAGCCCCGGGGCCGGGCCGGGCUCUGGCCGAUGGUUCUGUGCCUCUCCAGGACAUUGUUGUGCCUCCACAAGGUGGUUUGUGCCUCUCUAAGGUGGUUUUGUGCCCCUCUAAGAUGGUUUUGUGCCUCUCUAAGGUGGUUUUGUGCCCCUCUAAGAUGGUUUUGUGCCUCUCUAAGAUGGUUUUGUGCCUCUCUAAGGUGGUCUUGUGCCUCUCUAAGAUGGUUUUGUGCCCCUCUAAGGUGGUUUUGUGCCCCUCUAAGAUGGUUUUGUGCCUCUCUAAGAUGGUUUUGUGCCUCUCUAAGAUGGUUUUGUGCCCCUCUAAGGUGGUUUUGUGCCUCUCUAAGAUGGUUUUGUGCCCCUCUAAGGUGGUUUUGUGCCUCUCUAAGAUGGUUUUGUGCCUCUCUGGAGCUCCCACCGCCGGCACCGCCCCAGGUCAGGGAGGCUCCCCGAGCCCCGGGAGUCGCUCCCGGAGCUGCUCCGGGGCUGCGGCCCGAAGCAGCGGCAGGAACGAGUCCGAGCUCGGGUUUUGCCGCACAAGUGCCCGUCUCCCAUGGAAACGGGAGCCGGCAGGAGCCGCGGCAAUCUCAGGAUGCGCGCCCGGCUGGAAGCGCGGCGCUCUCGCUGCUUCCCCCCGCUGCCCGCAGCCCAGGGAUGGAUUUAACCCUCUGCAGGGCAGAUUCCUCUGCCCGCACCCCGGGAUGGAUUUAACCCUCUGCAG
ensembl:lncRNA